GACAGAGGGGGCAAGCGUUGCUCGGAAUUACUGGGCGUAAAGGGCGCGUAGGCUGGAUGGCAAGUCGGUCGUGAAAUCCCUCGGCUCAACCGAGGAACGUCGAUCGAUACUGCUGUUCUUGAGGAUUGCAGAGGAGACUGGAAUUCCCGGUGUAGCGGUGAAAUGUGUAGAGAUCGGGAGGAACACCGGUGGCGAAGGCGGGUCUCUGGGCAAUUCCUGACGCUGAGGCGCGAAAGCGUGGGGAGCGAACAGG
rnacentral:rRNA from 1 species